rnacentral:rRNA from 1 species
AGCGUACACGGUGGAUGCCCUGGCAGUCAGAGGCGAUGAAGGACGUGCUAAUCUGCGAAAAGCGUCGGUAAGGUGAUAUGAACCGUUACAGCCGGCGAUGUCCGAAUGGGGAAACCCAGUGCAAUUCGUUGCACUAUCGUUAACUGAAUACAUAGGUUAACGAGGCGAACCGGGGGAACUGAAACAUCUAAGUACCCCGAGGAAAAGAAAUCAACCGAGAUUCCCCCAGUAGCGGCGAGCGAACGGGGAGCAGCCCAGAGUCUGAAUCAGCUUGUGUGUUAGUGGAACGGUCUGGAAAGUCCGACGGUACAGGGUGAUAGUCCCGUACACCAAAAUGCACAGGCUGUGAACUCGAAGAGUAGGGCGGGACACGUGGUAUCCUGUCUGAAUAUGGGGGGACCAUCCUCCAAGGCUAAAUACUCCUGACUGACCGAUAGUGAACCAGUACCGUGAGGGAAAGGCGAAAAGAACCCCGGCGAGGGGAGUGAAAAAGAACCUGAAACCGUGUACGUACAAGCAGUGGGAGCACCUUCGGGUGUGACUGCGUACCUUUUGUAUAAUGGGUCAGCGACUUAUAUUCUGUAGCAAGGUUAACCGUAUAGGGGAGCCGCAGGGAAACCGAGUCUUAACUGGGCGUUAAGUUGCAGGGUAUAGACCCGAAACCCGGUGAUCUAGCCAUGGGCAGGUUGAAGGUUGGGUAACACUAACUGGAGGACCGAACCGACUAAUGUUGAAAAAUUAGCGGAUGACUUGUGGCUGGGGGUGAAAGGCCAAUCAAACCGGGAGAUAGCUGGUUCUCCCCGAAAGCUAUUUAGGUAGCGCCUCGUGAAUUCAUCUUCGGGGGUAGAGCACUGUUUCGGCUAGGGGGUCAUCCCGACUUACCAACCCGAUGCAAACUACGAAUACCGAAGAAUGUUAUCACGGGAGACACACGGCGGGUGCUAACGUCCGUCGUGAAGAGGGAAACAACCCAGACCGCCAGCUAAGGUCCCAAAGUCAUGGUUAAGUGGGAAACGAUGUGGGAAGGCACAGACAGCCAGGAUGUUGGCUUAGAAGCAGCCAUCAUUUAAAGAAAGCGUAAUAGCUCACUGGUCGAGUCGGCCUGCGCGGAAGAUGUAACGGGGCUAAACCAUGCACCGAAGCUGCGGCAGCGACACUAUGUGUUGUUGGGUAGGGGAGCGUUCUGUAAGCCUGCGAAGGUGUGCUGUGAGGCAUGCUGGAGGUAUCAGAAGUGCGAAUGCUGACAUAAGUAACGAUAAAGCGGGUGAAAAGCCCGCUCGCCGGAAGACCAAGGGUUCCUGUCCAACGUUAAUCGGGGCAGGGUGAGUCGACCCCUAAGGCGAGGCCGAAAGGCGUAGUCGAUGGGAAACAGGUUAAUAUUCCUGUACUUGGUGUUACUGCGAAGGGGGGACGGAGAAGGCUAUGUUAGCCGGGCGACGGUUGUCCCGGUUUAAGCAUGUAGGCUGGUUAUCCAGGCAAAUCCGGAUAAUCAAGGCUGAGGUGUGAUGACGAGGCACUACGGUGCUGAAGUAACAAAUGCCCUGCUUCCAGGAAAAGCCUCUAAGCAUCAGGUAACAUCAAAUCGUACCCCAAACCGACACAGGUGGUCAGGUAGAGAAUACCAAGGCGCUUGAGAGAACUCGGGUGAAGGAACUAGGCAAAAUGGUGCCGUAACUUCGGGAGAAGGCACGCUGGUGUGUAGGUGAAGUCCCUGCGGAUGGAGCUGAGACCAGUCGAAGAUACCAGCUGGCUGCAACUGUUUAUUAAAAACACAGCACUGUGCAAACACGAAAGUGGACGUAUACGGUGUGACGCCUGCCCGGUGCCGGAAGGUUAAUUGAUGGGGUUAUCCGUAAGGAGAAGCUCUUGAUCGAAGCCCCGGUAAACGGCGGCCGUAACUAUAACGGUCCUAAGGUAGCGAAAUUCCUUGUCGGGUAAGUUCCGACCUGCACGAAUGGCGUAAUGAUGGCCAGGCUGUCUCCACCCGAGACUCAGUGAAAUUGAACUCGCUGUGAAGAUGCAGUGUACCCGCGGCAAGACGGAAAGACCCCGUGAACCUUUACUAUAGCUUGACACUGAACAUUGAGCCUUGAUGUGUAGGAUAGGUGGGAGGCUUUGAAGCGUGGACGCCAGUCUGCGUGGAGCCAACCUUGAAAUACCACCCUUUAAUGUUUGAUGUUCUAACGUUGGCCCCUUACCGGGGUUGCGGACAGUGUCUGGUGGGUAGUUUGACUGGGGCGGUCUCCUCCCAAAGCGUAACGGAGGAGCACGAAGGUUAGCUAAUCCUGGUCGGACAUCAGGAGGUUAGUGCAAUGGCAUAAGCUAGCUUGACUGCGAGCGUGACGGCGCGAGCAGGUGCGAAAGCAGGUCAUAGUGAUCCGGUGGUUCUGAAUGGAAGGGCCAUCGCUCAACGGAUAAAAGGUACUCCGGGGAUAACAGGCUGAUACCGCCCAAGAGUUCAUAUCGACGGCGGUGUUUGGCACCUCGAUGUCGGCUCAUCACAUCCUGGGGCUGAAGUAGGUCCCAAGGGUAUGGCUGUUCGCCAUUUAAAGUGGUACGCGAGCUGGGUUUAGAACGUCGUGAGACAGUUCGGUCCCUAUCUGCCGUGGGCGCUGGAGAAUUGAGGGGGGCUGCUCCUAGUACGAGAGGACCGGAGUGGACGCAUCACUGGUGUUCGGGUUGUCAUGCCAAUGGCACUGCCCGGUAGCUAAAUGCGGAAGAGAUAAGUGCUGAAAGCAUCUAAGCACGAAACUUGCCCCGAGAUGAGUUCU